rnacentral:rRNA from 1 species
UACGGAGGGUGCAAGCGUCAUCCGGAUUCACUGGGUUUAAAGGGUGCGUAGGAGGGCAGGUAAGUCAGUGGUGAAAUCUUCGAGCUUAACUCGGAAACUGCCGUUGAUACUAUCUGUCUUGAAUCCCGUGGAGAUGAGCGGAAUAUGUCAUGUAGCGGUGAAAUGCUUAGAUAUGACAUAGAACACCAAUUGCGAAGGCAGCUCGUUACACGAAGAUUGACUCUGAGGCACGAAAGCGUGGGGAUCAAACAGG